UCAAAUUGAAAUGAUAUAUAUCUCUUCCUUUUUCUAUUUUAUCCAUAAUAUGUCGACUUAUAUAUAUUUGAAAAAAUCUAUUAUUAAGCCUAUAGAUUUUUUAAUUUUAUUUUAUUAAGCUCUUAUACUUUUAUUUUUGAUUUAAUUAAAAAUUUCUUAUACAUAUUCAUAUUUAUUUGUUAUAUUGAACUCAUGCACUUUCAUUUUUAUUUGAAGUAAAAAUUAUUAAGUCUUCAAUAAAGUACAAAAAUAGAAGUACAAAAUUUAAUAAAAUAAAAUAAAAAUUAAAAAAUUCAACAAAAUAAAUAUGAAAAGUCCAAACACCUAAAAAAGCAUUUUGCUUAUAUAUUUUGUAUGCUACAUGCUCUUAUAUAAGAAAUAAAUUAAGAAUAUGAAAAAUUUAUUCAAAACAAAAAAAGAAAAUGAAAACAUUGUUAAAACAAUGGAAAGAUAUCUGAUAUGUCACAACGGCUUAUGGCUUCUUGGAUCUAGCCGCCAUCGCUCCCAUUUGUAGGCCUGACAUUCACUAACUUAAAUAAAUUUUAUUUCAUUUAAUACUAUUAAUUUCACAAUUUCGUAACUAUUAAAUUCAAACAAUUAAUUCGGUCUGCCAGAAGAAUUAAACGAGACCCAAAACUAUAAGGAAAUACAACAGAUAAGUCUAUUAAUUCAACUGCAGAGAAUCUAAAAUUUUACAAAUUAACAUACCAAAUAAAUUACAUCACCCAAUGAUGAAGAAGUCAGGUUAUUAGAUAAGAGUCGCGGGAAGACUAACAGUCACGAAUCUAAAAAACAAUAAAAUUGAGACUGUCAGUCUCAAGAGUGAGUUAAAAUCAUAUAUCUAAAAACAGUUGCAAACAUCUCAAUAACACAUUUAUUUAAUUUGAAAUAAAUAAUAAGUCAUGUAAAAAUAAACGUGUCAUGUCAUGCUUAAAUUAAAUAAAAUAAUUCUCACACGCUAUGGGACGAAGUACUCUAGUAGAUCCCUAAUCUCAACACAAACAUCUCGAUCAAUCUCCAUACUGACAUCUCGGCUAAUCUCAACUCUAACAUCCCGACUAAUUUCAUUCUAAUAGGACUGGUGCCCAGAGAGCAAAGCUCGACCAGGAUCCUUGACUCUAGUCUAGUCACUUAAUAUUCACUAUCAGCCUAAGCCUUUCGGCUCUCUUAUUCCAAUAAGACUGGCGCCCAGAGAGCAAUGCUCGACUAGGGACCUUACCUCCAGUCUAGUCACUUAGGUAUCCAAAUAAGCCGGCGCCCAGAGAGCAAUGUUCGACCAGUGACCUUUACUCCGGCAACCACACUCUACUAAGCCUAGAAAGCGAUGCGACCAGGGCAAAUCCUAAUCUUUACUUUUCAAAUUUACCUAUUUACCCUUUUCCAUCACUCUCGGACCUAUAUCGGUACGCUCUUCAACCUAAUGUGUUCUACUACCGUCCCAUCCCGUCUCAUCAUGCAAUAUUAAAAUCAAUGAUAAAGAAAAUGAUAUAUAAUGAAUAGCAAUCAAAGCAUGAUACAAAUGAAUAAUAAUUAAAUGAAUAAUUGCAAAUCAAAAAUUUAUACAUAACACGUGCAUAAUCGAUAUAUGACUUUAACUCACAGCUUUGGCGACCUCUUUGCUCUGCUCCAGUGCCUCGGUUGGAGCGAGUCAAACAGACAGAUUAUCUAAUAACAGAAAAACAAUUUAUUAAAACGUUGAAACAACUGACCAUUAAUCCUAGGUCUAGAUUCCUAUGACUGAUUGUCUAAGAAUCUCGACUCGGAGGAAUUCUACUAAAACUCCGGCAAAACCUUUCUUAAAAUACAGACAUUUACCCCCCAUAAAACAGGACCUGCCAAAAAAAUACUUCAAAUAUGCUAGAAUUAAAUAAUAGGAGCCGGACCAAAAAAACUGUAUUAAUAUUUUUCCGACUCCACAACACCAUAACACAAAUAAUUAAAUUCAAUUUAUUUUAAACUAACCAUCACAAGUAAUUAAUAGCCGUAAUAAUUUUCUAAUAUUAUAACAUAAUUUUCAAAGUCUAAAUAAAAUUAUACCAAGUGAAAAUUAAAAUAUUUCUAGCGUCCGGAAAAACACCGGGGUCUGGAAACCGGUCUUGCCAACGAUGUCGGAAUUCGAAUCCGGAAGCCCCUACGCGAAGCUCGAGUUGCGGGGAGUCCGGAAGUACAAGAGUUUUGGCCGGAAAGUUGCCGGAAAGCGGCGGAUCGUGGACGGAAAAUUGCUGCUCCGGCGACACUUUCCAAGACUGCCGGCGAGGAUUUUCUGGCGGAGGAGAGCUGUUUCCGGGGUUUUCGGGGGUGAGGAACUCGUUUCCGGCGUCGGAUCGCCGAAAACACGCCGGCAAGAUGCCGGACGACGAUGACAGCCCCCUACUUUCGGUCGACGUCGGCGGCAGCGGAAAGGAAAGGAGCUGGCGGCAGCGGCGGCAGCUUGGCGGAGCGCAGGCGACGGGGAAAGUGAGGCAACCGGCGGAAAGGAGGGAGAAGGGAAGAAGGAGAGGGAGAGAGGAAGAGGGAGGAAGGAAGGAAAAAGAGGAAAAGAGAGGGGAAAGGAAAAGAGGAAAAGAGAGGGGAACAGAGGCGAAAGGAAAAGAGGAGGGAA
rnacentral:lncRNA from 1 species